AUUGAACGCUGGCGGCAGGCCUAACACAUGCAAGUCGAGCGGCAGCGGGAAAGUAGCUUGCUACUUUUGCCGGCGAGCGGCGGACGGGUGAGUAAUGCCUGGGAAAUUGCCCAGUCGAGGGGGAUAACAGUUGGAAACGACUGCUAAUACCGCAUACGCCCUACGGGGGAAAGCAGGGGACCUUCGGGCUUUGCGCGAUUGGAUAUGCCCAGGUGGGAUUAGCUAGUUGGUGAGGUAAUGGCUCACCAAGGCGACGAUCCCUAGCUGGUCUGAGAGGAUGAUCAGCCACACUGGAACUGAGACACGGUCCAGACUCCUACGGGAGGCAGCAGUGGGGAAUAUUGCACAAUGGGGGAAACCCUGAUGCAGCCAUGCCGCGUGUGUGAAGAAGGCCUUCGGGUUGUAAAGCACUUUCAGCGAGGAGGAAAGGUUGGCGCCUAAUACGUGUCAACUGUGACGUUACUCGCAGAAGAAGCACCGGCUAACUCCGUGCCAGCAGCCGCAGUAACAC
rnacentral:rRNA from 1 species